rnacentral:rRNA from 1 species
UACGUAGGGUGCAAGCGUUGUCCGGAAUUAUUGGGCGUAAAGAGCCCGUAGGCGGUCUGUCGCGUCGGCUGUGAAAACUCGGGGCUCAACCCCGAGCCUGCAGUCGAUACGGGCAGACUAGAGUGCUGUAGGGGAGACUGGAAUUCCUGGUGUAGCGGUGAAAUGCGCAGAUAUCAGGAGGAACGCCGGUGGCGAAGGCGGGUCUCUGGGCAGUAACUGACGCUGAGGAGCGAAAGCGUGGGGAGCGAACAGG